UUCCCGCCGCCACUGGAGGAUCAUCUACCCUUUGGUACAGAUCAAAAAGCAAUAGUAAUUGGACGAAGAAGAAUGGCAUUGAAACAGGUUUCCAGCAGCAAGUGCUUUGGGGACUGCGGAAAGUUUUUGAACAUGACAGUGUUGAAUUGAAGUGCAAAAUGAAAUUUGCUGUCUAUUUACCACCAAAGGCAGAAACUGGAAAAUGCCCUGUGCUAUGUUGGCUGUCUGGUUUAACUUGCACAGAACAAAAUUUUAUAUCAAAAUCUGGUUAUCAUCAAGCUACUUCAGAACAUGGCCUUGUCAUUGCUCCAGAUAGCAGCCCUCGUGGCUGCAAUAUUAAAGGAGAAGAAGACAGCUGGGGCUUUGGCACUGGUGCUGGGUUUUCUGUCAAUGAUACUGAAGAUCUUUGGAAAACUAAUGAUAGAAUGUACUCUUACCUAGGGAAGGAGCUUCCCCAUCUCGUAAAUGACAAUUUUCCAGUGGACCCCCAAAAGAUGUCUAUUUUUGGCCACUCAACGGGAGGCCAUGGAGCUCUGAUUUGUGCUUUGAAGAAUCCUGGAAAAUACAAAUCUGUGUCAGCAUUUGCUCCACUUUGCAACCCAGUGCUCUGUCAUUGGGGCAAAAAAGUUUUUAUUGGAUAUUUGGGAACAGAUCAAAUUAAAUGGGAGGCUUAUGAUGCUACCUAUCUUGUGAAGUCCUAUCCAGGUUCUCAGCUGGAUAUACUAAUUGAUCAAGGGAAAGAUGAUGAGUUCCUUUCAGAUGGACAGUUACUUCCUGAUAACUUCAUAGCUGCCUGUACAGAAAAGAAAAUCCCUGUUGGUUUCAGAUUAUAAGAGGGUUGUGAUCAUAGCUACUACUUUAUUGCAACCUUUAUUGCUGAUCACAUCAGACAUCAUGCAAAAUACCUGAAUGUAUGAAAAACUUCAGAUAAGAGAAUCUCUUCAGGAUUAUAAAAUUGUAAUAAACAG